GCACAAGCGGUGGAUGAUGUGGAUUAAUUCGAUGCAACGCGAAAACCUUACCUACCCUUGACAUGUCUGGAACCUUGCUGAGAGGCGAGGGUGCCUUCGGGAGCCAGAACACAGGUGCUGCAUGGCUGUCGUCAGCUCGUGUCGUGAGAUGUUGGGUUAAGUCCCGCAACGAGCGCAACCCUUGUCAUUAGUUGCCAUCAUUUAGUUGGGCACUCUAAUGAGACUGCCGGUGGCAAACCGGAGGAAGGUGGGGAUGACGUCAAGUCCUCAUGGCCCUUAUGUCCAGGGCUACACACGUGCUACAAUGGCCGGUACAAAGGGUAGCAAGACCGCGAGGUGGAGCCAACCCCAAAAAGCCGGUCUCAGUUCGGAUUGGAGUCUGCAACUCGACUCCAUGAAGUUGGAAUCGCUAGUAAUCGUGGAUCAGCAUGCCACGGUGAAUACGUUCCCGGGCCUU
rnacentral:rRNA from 1 species